GCCACGGUAGAUCAAUGGUAGAUCGCAUCUAACAUAUGAUCGAUAUCCUCUAUGAGAACAUUCAUGAUGAGAUCAUGGUUCGAAUCCAUGUCGUAGCA
rnacentral:tRNA from 1 species